rnacentral:rRNA from 1 species
UACGGGGGGAGCAAGCGUUGUUCGGAUUUACUGGGCGUAAAGGACGCGUAGGCGGCGCAACAAGUCACUUGUGAAAUCUCCGGGCUUAACCCGGAGCGGCCAAGUGAUACUGUCGUGCUAGAGUGCGGAAGGGGCUACUGGAAUUCUCGGUGUAGCGGUGAAAUGCGUAGAUAUCGAGAGGAACACCUGCGGCGAAGGCGGGUAGCUGGGCCGACACUGACGCUGAGGCGCGAAAGCGUGGGGAGCGAACAGG